GUUAGAACGAGGUACCGCUCUUGAAUUUAAUUCUAAGCAGUUAAACCUUUCCGUAUUUGUACGACCUGGUGGCACUUAUUGUGCUCUCACCGAUUUAUGAGUUUCCAACCAGCUUACAUUCCUGACAAAACUGAAAAUGCUCGCUUAUGUGUCAUGCAUUGUGGGUAUUUUCUGUCUAAUGUUGUUGAUUGCUGCAUUCAGUGCAACGCAGUAGCUUCGGACCAGGACAAAUUUCCCCUUGCGGGACAAUAAAGUAUAUCGGGGUUUUUUUUCAAAACGUGUUUUCGUUGCUGUAUUCAUUUUAAGACUUAUUAUCAUAGGAGUCAUUUUCAGGGCUGCGUUCACGCUGAACAUCCCUCACUAAGACCAAAACGGGGAAACACAACUAACUCAGCUCCCACUCCCAGAAUUGACUUUUCCCUUCUAAGAAUUGAAGCCCAAAACUUUCUAGAUUCACCAGAGGUUUUGACCAAGAAUGUGAAAGAGAAUAACGAGCCGCUGUUAAAGGUUUUAUUCAGAAAUUAGAUGGGAAAUUUUAGAUUUCAGUGGUUAUACUUUCUAUUGAGAUAAAUGGGAGAUAUUUUAUAUCUUUUUUUCUUUCUUUGUAGAACAUCCAGACACAAAAGUAGUCUUCAUCCUAAACAUACAACUUCAAUUUGCCUUUGUUUGUUUUACAAGUAUUUCAAGCCCCUGACUAGUUGUUUGCCAAAAGUUAAAUUUAGAUUUUAAAGAUUAAAUUAGGGAACAAAUAUAACCAAACAUCUUGUCUGAAGGAGGGCGGGGGGCGUCUCACCAAGCUGAGAGUAGGGGUUAGAGAAAUGCUUAAUAACCCUGGGGAGGACGCAGCUUUUGAAACAUAUGGCUCAGCCCACCCCAAUGAAUUUUGCACAGUUCUUUCAUGUAUCAAGUUCGGGCUGUUUCUCUGCAGAGACGCUUCCCCCCGUGGCUAAAGCUUUGGGGUUUUUAAACAUGCAAUUUGGGCUCGGAAAAAUAACGACUCUUAGUUGUAAAACCGGCGUUGCGGAGUGAACGCUAAAAAAACUACAAACGGCAAUUACUUUCGGCUGACGCUCUCUCACGCUUUAUGCUGUCUCGUGACAAAAGCGCAUUUCCAAGCCCCUCGCAUCGUCAUGGAACGCCGCAGCCCCCCCCAAACCCGCCUCGUCUCAAGAUGAGGCGAGUGACGUCUAAAAAAUGAUGGAUUGUUCCCAGCCAUCCUUUGGGGUCGAGUCUGUGUUACAAUAUCGAUGUGGGAACGCCGACACUGAACGGGAGGACUGGCUACAUCAAAGGAGGAAUGCAAUCUUAGCGCCAGAUUUAUGAGAAACUUUAUCCGAGACGGGCCACUUCAGAGAGGAGGCUGUUGCGUGGUGAGCAGAGACGGCUUGAGGUAUCAGCCUCAAGAACGUCGACGCGGAACCCCGAAAAGACCGACACUUUUUGGGGUCGACUCUGGCUCAGCGGGGAGCCUCGCGAGCGUCAGGCAAACGAAGUUGCAGAUGCGUUCAAAGUCAAACAGCAGAGGACUUGCAGAAAUGUAAGAAAACUGACGGACGUUGUUGAACUAGCUAACGAACGAGAUGUUUCCAGAUUUCUUUUGAGAGUCUGGAGACAUUUUGUGGUACCCAACGGAAAAAAAAGAAGCGUCAACAGAGAGACAAGCUAACAAAAAAAUUUAAUUAUCUUUAUACUAUUUUUUCUCAUUGCCUUCCUCUGUAAAACCAACAUGGAUGACUUGGUUUAUUACAACGCUCAAGUUCAUAUCUUUUUAGCUUCUUCUGAAAAACUAAAGGGCUAAUUCAGACUUUUGUUGCAUUUCAUCUUUGUCUAUUGAAAAUGAUAAUUUUUUGGAUUUAAUUUCAGAACGGCAAAUAUAUUCAUUUAUUUUUUUAAUCUUUUUUUAAUCAUUUUAAUAUUAAUUUGAAACGCAUUGAUCAAUUUUUAUAGCUUGAUCUUUUCAGUCGCAUUAAUUAGCAAAUACAGCAUCAUUUUUUGAAGCAUAAUUUACAUAUUUUCAUAACUGCUUAUUCAGUUCAGCGGCUCCUUCACGACUCUACGAAGAUCUUUGUUGCUGCGCAACGACGGUUGCUUCGUCACUUGCUGCGGAAAAGAAAGUCGCAUUUUUGUUGCGAGCGUCUGUGCCGCCAUACGGUCGGAAUCCCAGGGAAGGCGCUCGAAACGGAGCGUCGCUGU